ensembl:snRNA U6 U6 spliceosomal RNA
GUGCUCGCUUCAGCAGCACAUAUGCUAAAAUUGGAACGAUACCAAGAAAGAUUAGCAUGAUCCCUGCACAAAGAUGACACACAAAUUCGUGAAGAGUUCCAUAGUUUU